rnacentral:rRNA from 1 species
UACGUAGGGGGCGAGCGUUGUCCGGAGUUACUGGGCGUAAAGCGCUUGUAGGCGGUCCACCAAGUUUGGGGUGACAGUUGCCGACUUAAUCGGCAAAGUGCCUCAAAGACUGGCGGACUUGAGGGCCACAGAGGGACAUGGAACUCCAGGUGUAGUGGUGAAAUGCGUGGAUAUCUGGAAGAACACCAAAGGCGAAGGCAGUGUCCUGGGUGGUCGCUGACGCUGAGAGGCGAAAGCCAGGGGAGCGAACGGG